rnacentral:rRNA from 1 species
AACUUUCAACCUCGGAUCUCUUGGUUCUGGCAUCGAUGAAGAACGCAGCGAAAUGCGAUAAGUAAUGUGAAUUGCAGAAUUCAGUGAAUCAUCGAAUCUUUGAACGCACAUUGCGCCCUCUGGUAUUCCGGAGGGCAUGCCUGUUCGAGCGUCAU